rnacentral:rRNA from 1 species
CCUACGGGAGGCAGCAGUGGGGAAUUUUGGACAAUGGGCGCAAGCCUGAUCCAGCAAUGCCGCGUGCAGGAUGAAGGCCUUCGGGUUGUAAACUGCUUUUGUACGGAACGAAAAAGUCUGCCCUAAUACGGUGGGCCCAUGACGGUACCGUAAGAAUAAGCACCGGCUAACUACGUGCCAGCAGCCGCGGUAAUACGUAGGGUGCGAGCGUUAAUCGGAAUUACUGGGCGUAAAGCGUGCGCAGGCGGUUAUAUAAGACAGAUGUGAAAUCCCCGGGCUCAACCUGGGACCUGCAUUUGUGACUGUAUAGCUAGAGUACGGUAGAGGGGGAUGGAAUUCCGCGUGUAGCAGUGAAAUGCGUAGAUAUGCGGAGGAACACCGAUGGCGAAGGCAAUCCCCUGGACCUGUACUGACGCUCAUGCACGAAAGCGUGGGGAGCAAACAGGAUUAGAUACCCUGGUAGUCCACGCCCUAAACGAUGUCAACUGGUUGUUGGGUCUUCACUGACUCAGUAACGAAGCUAACGCGUGAAGUUGACCGCCUGGGGAGUAACGGCCGCAAAGGUUGAAACUUCAAAGAAGAGUUACGG